UUUCCUUAACACUGCCUCUUUCUUUGCUUCUCCUCCUCCUCCUCCUCCUCGCUUCCAUUCUUUCCUUUUUUAUUUUUUUCGGAAUUGCUUGAUUGGAAAUUGUGACUGAUUUUGAACUUGUGAUUCAGUUGCAAAAGCUGGCGCGUGGUAUUCUCUCAUAAUGAUGUUUCACAUACUGUCAGAGUCACAGUGCUAGUAUUAUGCACAAGUUCAUCAGCUAUUGUGCUAGGCUAAUGCUUGCCUGUAUAUGCAUACGAUCAAAUAUGCAUCAAUAAAAGAUUUUGUAAUCUGCUUACAUGAUACCACCAUAUUGGUUGGCUUGAUGCAUGUGUGUUCUGAUAUAUCAUUUUUCUGCAUGGACAUAUUUUAUUUAGAUUAAGAUGUUGAGUCCAAAAGGACUGUCAGUGUCCUCAUUUUUUGUGGGUAAUCUGUUCCAUUUUUGCAGGAAAAUUACAGAUCUCUUGCCCCUAGCCUAUUCUUUUUGUUGAAAUCAUCUUUUAUGUAGACUUUUCUCUGGCUGUGACAAUAAUGCAGUGUGGGAAGAUGAAGAUCCUAAUACUAUUUAGGAGUUAUUUUUAUUGUAGAAUUAGGAAGUUUAAUUUAGAGUUUUAAUAUUUAGGAAUUUUAUUAUUAUUAUUAUGUCUAUAUCUUAUUUAGUAUUCUUAAUUAGAGUUGAAUUAGCAUUUCUAUUCCUAAUUUGCUUAGCAUUGUAAACUCUAUAGAUAAAGUUUUUCUAUUAUUAGGUAGAUUUGCUAUGAUAAUUUUAUGAGAUCAAUAAUAUUU
rnacentral:misc_RNA from 1 species